GUCCAAAGUAAGGACAAUUUUUCCCAAGUGAUUGAGUGGAGCAGCAAAUGCCUGUGAAAAUAGUAGAUAUAAAAAUAUCAGCAAGAGCCAAAAUUACAAGACUGUUUCUGAAAAUAUUCCGAAAGAAUGUUUAGAAAACAUCUUUUUCCAGGUAGACAGAGAGUUUGUGAGGCUGCAUCAUUGGCAUCAUUUUAUCAUCACCAUCCCGCUCAGGAGCUCAAGAAGAGGGGAACUGAGUCAGUUAGAAUUACAGAGAAAAAAACAUAGUAUAUAUAAGGUUCUGGAGCUGAAAAAUACAAUGAACAAAGUGAAAAGUGAAACAGAGACUAUCAGCAGCAGAAUUAGUCAAGCAAAAGAAAGAAUCUGCAAAAUUGAAGAUGAGUUAUUUGAAAAUAUACAGUGAGAAGAGGAAAAAGAAAACCAUUUUUAAAAAUGAAGAAAGCUUACAGGAAUUAUGAGACAGCAUCAACAGACCAAAAGUUUGAGUCACUGGCAUUUUGGAAAUCUGCAGCUUCAGCUUUCUCAUAAUGAGUAUUUGCUUAUAAUUUGUUGUAAGGGUGAUAAUAAUUUCAGUUGGAGCCUCACUGGUAACCUUGCUCAGCCACACGACUGGAAUGUAAGAGGCUGGGGCAUUUUGGACAGCACAGAUGUUAAACGUGAACACUACCUUCUCAGUAGCACAAAUCUGACUACAUCUUUAAGUCUCCAAGAGGAACAUGAGGACAUGAGCAAUAGAGGAAACCUGGAGGAAGAGGGUGUGGCAUGUUGAAAUUUAAAAAGAAGCAAUGUGUAUUUGCAAGUCAAACCAAUAUAAUAAAACCAGUGGUUAUUUUUUAAUGUUUUCAAUCAUUGGAAUAUACAUGAAUUUUCACAAUAAAGUGUGC
rnacentral:lncRNA from 1 species